rnacentral:rRNA from 1 species
UGGNUCAGAUUGAACGCUGGCGGCAGGCCUAACACAUGCAAGUCGAGCGGUAGAGAGAAGCUUGCUUCUCUUGAGAGCGGCGGACGGGUGAGUAAUGCCUAGGAAUCUGCCUGGUAGUGGGGGAUAACGUUCGGAAACGGACGCUAAUACCGCAUACGUCCUACGGGAGAAAGCAGGGGACCUUCGGGCCUUGCGCUAUCAGAUGAGCCUAGGUCGGAUUAGCUAGUUGGUGGGGUAAUGGCUCACCAAGGCGACGAUCCGUAACUGGUCUGAGAGGAUGAUCAGUCACACUGGAACUGAGACACGGUCCAGACUCCUACGGGAGGCAGCAGUGGGGAAUAUUGGACAAUGGGCGAAAGCCUGAUCCAGCCAUGCCGCGUGUGUGAAGAAGGUCUUCGGAUUGUAAAGCACUUUAAGUUGGGAGGAAGGGUUGUAGAUUAAUACUCUGCAAUUUUGACGUUACCGACAGAAUAAGCACCGGCUAACUCUGUGCCAGCAGCCGCGGUAAUACAGAGGGUGCAAGCGUUAAUCGGAAUUACUGGGCGUAAAGCGCGCGUAGGUGGUUUGUUAAGUUGGAUGUGAAAUCCCCGGGCUCAACCUGGGAACUGCAUUCAAAACUGACUGACUAGAGUAUGGUAGAGGGUGGUGGAAUUUCCUGUGUAGCGGUGAAAUGCGUAGAUAUAGGAAGGAACACCAGUGGCGAAGGCGACCACCUGGACUAAUACUGACACUGAGGUGCGAAAGCGUGGGGAGCAAACAGGAUUAGAUACCCUGGUAGUCCACGCCGUAAACGAUGUCAACUAGCCGUUGGAAGCCUUGAGCUUUUAGUGGCGCAGCUAACGCAUUAAGUGACCGC